rfam:Clostridium grantii DSM 8605 genome assembly, contig: EJ34DRAFT_scaffold00058.58
UCUGGUGAUUAUAGCUUGAAGGCAACACCCGUUCCCAUUCCGAACACGAUGGUUAAGCUUCAACACGCUGAUGGUACUGCAUGGGUGACUGUGUGGGAGAGUAAGUCGUUGCCAGGU